UUUCGCAAUGCCCGAAAGGGUGACGAAGCGACGCCGCGUGGGUGAGUAAGGCCUUCGGGUUGUAAAACCCUGUCAGGAGUUAAGAAAUGUAAGUGCGCUAAUAUCGCAUUUAUUUGACGAAGGCUCCAAAGGAAGUCACGGCUAACUCUGUGCCAGCAGCCGCGGUAAUACAGAGGUGGCAAGCGUUGUUCGGAAUUAUUGGGCGUAAAGAGCACGUAGGUGGGUUUGUAAGUCAGAUGUGAAAGCCUUCUGUUCAACGGGAGAAUUGCAUCUGAAACUACAGACCUUGAGUAUAGGAGGGGAGAAUGGAACUUCUGGUGGAGCGGUGAAAUGCGUAGAUAUCAGAAGGAACGCCGGCAGCGAAAGCGACUCUCUGGCCCGAAACUGACGCUGAGGUGCGAAAGCUAGGGGAGCAAACGGGAUUAGAUACCCCGGUAGUCCUAGCCGUAAACGAUGGGCACUAAGUAGAGGGGUUUUA
rnacentral:rRNA from 1 species